GACGAACGCUGGCGGCGUGCUUAACACAUGCAAGUCGAACGGAAAGGCCCUGCUUUUGUGGGGUGCUCGAGUGGCGAACGGGUGAGUAACAAGUGAGUAACCUGCCCUUGACUUUGGGAUAACUUCAGGAAACUGGGGCUAAUACCGGAUAGGAGCUCCUGCUGCAUGGUGGGGGUUGGAAAGUUUCGGCGGUUGGGGAUGGACUCGCGGCUUAUCAGCUUGUUGGGGGGGUAGUGGCUUACCAAGGCUUUGACGGGUAGCCGGCCUGAGAGGGUGACCGGCAACAUUGGGACUGAGAUACGGCCCAGACUCCUACGGGAGGCAGCAGUGGGGAAUAUUGCACAAUGGGCGGAAGCCUGAUGCAGCAACGCCGCGUGCGGGAUGACGGCCUUCGGGUUGUAAACCGCUUUCGCCUGUGACGAAGCGUGAGUGACGGUAAUGGGUAAAGAAGCACCGGCUAACUACGUG
rnacentral:rRNA from 1 species